GCAGCUUUUUUUUCGCCCGCCGGCAUCUGCCGAAGAGAAAUUAGCAAUUAGCAGGAGAAGGAGAUUUCCAAAAGCCCCGAGAUCAGGCCCGGGACCUGCCUGAAGCAGCUUUACAGGAUAUAGCUAAUGC